rnacentral:rRNA from 1 species
GACGAACGCUGGCGGCGUGCCUAAUACAUGCAAGUAGAACGCAGUUGCGAACGGGUGAGUAACGCGUAUGUAACUGCCUCAUAGCGGGGGAUAACUAUUGGAAACGAUAGCUAAUACCGCAUACUGUGAGAUGGACCUGCGUUGUAUUAGCUAGUUGGUGAGGUAAAGGCUCACCAAGGCGACGAUACAUAGCCGGGCUGAGAAGGUGAGCGGGCACAACUGGACUGGGAAACCGGCCAGACCCCUAAGGGAGGGAGCAGUAGGGGAUCAUCGGAAAAGGACGGAAGGCCGAACGAGCAAAGCCGCGGGAGUGAAGAAGGGUUUCGGAUCGGAAAGGUCUGUUGUUAGAGAAGCGGUAACUAAACAGAAAGGGACGGCUAACUACGUGCCAGCAGCCGCGGUAAUAC